rnacentral:tRNA from 1 species
CAAAAUAUAGCUUAACUAAAGCCUUUCGCUUACACCGAAGUGAUACCCGUUAAAACCGAGUUCUUUUGA